rnacentral:rRNA from 1 species
UACGGAGGGUGCAAGCGUUAUCCGGAUUCACUGGGUUUAAAGGGAGCGUAGGUGGGCUGGUAAGUCAGUGGUGAAAUCUCCGAGCUUAACUCGGAAACUGCCGUUGAUACUAUCUGUCUUGAAUACCGUGGAGGUGAGCGGAAUAUGUCAUGUAGCGGUGAAAUGCUUAGAUAUGACAUAGAACACCAAUUGCGAAGGCAGCUCACUACACGAGCAUUGACUCUGAGGCACGAAAGCGUGGGGAUCAAACAGG